rnacentral:rRNA from 1 species
UGGGGAAUUUUGGACAAUGGGCGAAAGCCUGAUCCAGCAAUGCCGCGUGUGUGAAGAAGGCCUUCGGGUUGUAAAGCACUUUUGUCCGGAAAGAAAUCCUUGGCUCUAAUACAGUCGGGGGAUGACGGUACCGGAAGAAUAAGCACCGGCUAACUACGUGCCAGCAGCCGCGGUAAUACGUAGGGUGCAAGCGUUAAUCGGAAUUACUGGGCGUAAAGCGUGCGCGGGCGGUUUGCUAAGACCGAUGUGAAAUCCCCGGGCUCAACCUGGGAACUGCAUUGGUGACUGGCAGGCUAGAGUAUGGCAGAGGGGGGUAGAAUUCCACGUGUAGCAGUGAAAUGCGUAGAGAUGUGGAGGAAUACCGAUGGCGAAGGCGGCCCCCUGGGCCAAUACUGACGCUCAUGCACGAAAGCGUGGGGAGCAAACAGGAUUAGAUACCCUGGUAGUCCACGCCCUAAAACGAUGUCAACUAGUUGUUGGGGAUUCAUUUCCUUAGUAACGUAGCUAACGCGUGAAGUUGACCGCCUGGGGAGUACGGUCGCAAGAUUAAAACUCAAAUGAAUUGACGGGGUCAUA